rnacentral:rRNA from 1 species
UACAGAGGUCUCAAGCGUUGUUCGGAUUCAUUGGGCGUAAAGGGCGCGUAGGCGGCGGGGUAAGUCGGAUGUGAAAUCUCAGGGCUCAACCCUGAAACUGCAUUCGAUACUGCUCUGCUUGAGGACUGGAGAGGAGACUGGAAUUCACGGUGUAGCAGUGAAAUGCGUAGAGAUCGUGAGGAAGACCAGUGGCGAAGGCGGGUCUCUGGGCCGAUACUGACGCUGAGGAGCGAAAGCGUGGGGAGCGAACAGG